rnacentral:rRNA from 1 species
UACGGAGGAUGCGAGCGUUAUCCGGAUUUAUUGGGUUUAAAGGGUGCGUAGGCGGUCCGGAAAGUCAGCGGUAAAAGCCCGGGGCUCAACCCCGGCGAGCCGUUGAAACUGUCGGACUAGAGACGGCGAGAAGUACGCGGAAUGCGCGGUGUAGCGGUGAAAUGCAUAGAUAUCACGAAGAACUCCGAUUGCGAAGGCAGCUUACCAGUCUGCGACUGACGCUCAGGCACGAAAGUGUGGGUAUCGAACAGG